rnacentral:SRP_RNA from 2 species
GCUGGGCAUGGUGGUGUGUGUCUGUAGUCCCAGCUACUCAGGAGGCUGAGGCAGGAGGAUUGCUUGAGCCCAAGAGGUCGAGGCUGCAGUGAGUUAUGAUUGUACCAUUGCACUCCAGCCUGGGCAACAGGGCAAGACCCUGUCUCUG